GAAGAGGAGUUAGUUAGGGUUCAAUUUCGCGAGUCCUAAACCUUUCCCUCCCCAGAUGGACAACUAACAAUUUACUGCAAAACUGGAAGCAUUUGAUUUGAUACUUGCAACCGUGAUGAGACCGCUUAGCCAAACGAAGCAGUUGUUGGCGGUUACGGUUCAGAGGCAUCAGUUCUGGCACGAGUCUCGAAACGUGAAGGUCUCGGUGUGGUGGGAUUUCGAGAACUGCCAGGUGCCAGCGGGGGUUGACGUUUCGAAUGUGGCGCCGGCGAUCACGAAGGCUGUGAGAGCGAGUGGUAUUAAGGGCCCUCUCCGAAUCAACGCUUUCGGUGAUAUUCUGCAGCUGUCAAAAUCCAACCGGCAAGCACUUUCUCACACCGGCAUUCAUUUCACCCACAUUCGAGGUGGAAAGAACAGUGCCGAUAGAUUUAUUGUCAUGAAUCUUAUGGACUGGAUUUCUCAAAAUCCUCCUCCUGCCCAUCUCUUUCUGAUAUCUGGUGAUGGAGACUUUGCUAGAAUGUUACACCGGUUAAGAAUGCAUAAUUACAAUAUAUUACUUGCUAGCACAAGGAAUGCUCCUGAGGUCCUCUGCAGUGCAGCAACAAUAAUAUGGCAAUGGUCUUCAUUAGUAAAGGGGGAACAUUUUUCUGGAAAACAUUUAAACCAUCCUCCUGAUGGUUUGUUUGGUUCUUGGUCUGGAAAUUACAAUGUGAUUCCUGACAAACCAUUCUCAGAUGUUGAGAAGUCUGCAUCUUCACAAAAAGUAGACAUAUACAAACCUUCCUUAGAUUUGCAAACUGUUCCAAAAGAAGUUAUAAUACAUGUUUGCCAUAUAUUUAGAUCACAUCCAAACGGAAUCUCAAUUGGAGAUCUUCAUAGACGGUUGAAGAAACGCAAAGUGGAUUUUGGUGAAAAGUUUUAUGGAUAUGGAUCAUUUACUCGCUUUCUAACAUCAACAAUGCAUGUAAAGCUUGAGCCUUUAGGCUUGGGUAAAUUUCAUGUAUGUCUUAUCCCCUCAGAAUCCCCCAAACCUUUUGAGUUCAAAGAUGUGGAAUCAGUAUCAUCUUGUAUAAAGAUGGAUGAGAAGGGAUCUGCAUCAACUCCAAAGCUAAAUGGUGAGGAUAAAAACAAGGUUAGAGAAGAAAAUUGGAGACCCUUAAUUGCCUCAUCCCAUGAAAGGAGUAUGGAUGAUGAUUCAAAAUUAUCACUUUUAUCGGUUGAAAACCCAGAUACGUUACAGAAAUUUUCAGUGCGUAAUGGCAAUGUUGUUGAUAUGACUACUGAACAACUGUCAGAGAUUCAACCACAACACAGGGACAAUCAACUUUCCAAAACUAAGCCAGAUUCCUUAAAAUUGAGUUCAAGUUCUAAAACAUUAUCUGGUUGUGACACUGUUGGCUCUGAGGAUGCAAUUUAUAGAAUUCAGGAAAAAUACACGACUUCAAGGAAUCACUCUGCUGGAAAUAAUCAGACAGCAAAAGAAGACAUUGUUUCUGCAAUAUAUGAAUCUGCUAAUGUUAGAGCAAUGAACAAAUCCGAGAAUUCAACUAGAAAAGAGGUUGGUGAAGUUUGUCACAGCCCAUAUUCUACAGAAGCUGAUCACUCUCUGCUUGACAAAAUACCUAGUGGAAGUGAUAAAACUAAUAGGAGUGCUCCAACAUUCUUUGUCUGGAUCAGAAACUGGUGGAAAUUUUGGAAGGGGAAUGCAGAAUCUGGUGUUUCAGCUGAUUCUAACCCAUCUGAACUCGUAGAGCAAACUAUUCAGGUUGUGAGUGAUUUUAAAGAACCCAAGUUAUCAGAUCUGGACCAACCUGAGUUGUUUUCUAGCGGUUCCUUUUGGGAUGACAUAGAAACUUUUGUUUUCACGCUCAAAGGAUCAUUUAUUGUUUCCCAGUCGAAAAACAGGGAAGAUAUGGCAUAUAAAUUGCUAAAAGAUGGACCUCCAGUUAUAAGAUCUCUCACUGAAGAAGAUAUUCUUCAAUUGGUGGAAUUGUUAAUAUUAAAGAAAAAGUGGUUGGAAGAAAUCCCGUCCCAAAUAUUUUCUUUCAAAGUAAUUAAACUAGUUCAAAGGAACUCAUUGACGAGCCAAUCUCAGGAUGCAAAUGGUUUGAGAUCCCUCUUUCUGAACAUAUCGUCGCAAUCCAAAUUGCAAAAAUCAUCUGAACAUAAGAGUAUUCCUAAAUCCGGAGUUUCUACAACUAAUACUGACGGAAAAUAGUAUCAGUUCUUUCCCAAGACUGUCGGUUGAUAGGUAUGACUAUCAUGUUGAUAGGUAUGGCUAUCAUCGUGAAUUACAGAAGCUACACAUUGGCAUAAUGCCAGAAGUUAAAGUAGAGCCCACUUGUAGUGUGCCUCUGAAGGGAAAACUUUUAAUUUCAAAAACUCAGGAGUCCUGAUAUCGAGUGAUGAAGGUGAAAGAUUUAAAUAAGAGGACUUACAAUGUAUUAUAUCAGUCAUUUAUGGUCUACGUUGAUGAGUGAUGCAAGCAACAACGAUGACUUUGGUGGGUUCGGAGUAGAAGUGAAACUUCCAAGGUUGGUUGACUUCAGGUAUCAGGAGGAGGGAAGAAACAAGGGUUCAACCACUGGAAUGUGAGACUAUUGGAGAGAGUUCAAUUUUGUGAAGAGAGAUGCAUCUUAAAAAAAGGUAACAUUUGCAAACAAAUAAUACCUUUUUGUUUCAAGAGAGUAAUAACGAUACUUUUUUGAAGCUAGAAUCUCCUAGUAAGAUACAAUUGAUGUAGGAUUGAGCAAUGGUCAGGUUGAAUUGGGAUCCAAUCUUACCAAUGGAGCAUAAUUCGAAUUCAACUUUUAACAUCCAA